rnacentral:rRNA from 1 species
UUUAACAUGAGAGUUUGAUCCUGGCUCAGGAUGAACGCUGGCGGCGUGCUUAACACAUGCAAGUCGAACGAAGCACUUUAUUUGAUUUCCUUCGGGACUGAUUAUUUUGUGACUGAGUGGCGGACGGGUGAGUAACGCGUGGGUAACCUGCCUUGUACAGGGGAAUAACAGUUGGAAACGGCUGCUAAUACCGCAUAAGCGCACAGUAUCGCAUGAUGCAGUGUGAAAAACUCCGGUGGUAUAAGAUGGACCCG